rnacentral:rRNA from 1 species
GACGAACGCUGACGGCGUGCUUAACACAUGCAAGUCGAAGGGAGUGGCGAACGGGUGAGUAACACGUGAGUAACCUGCCCUUUUCUUUGGGAUAAGCCUGGGAAACUGGGUCUAAUACUGGAUGGAUUGGGAUGGGCUCGCGGCUUAUCAGCUUGUUGGUGGGGUGAUGGCUUACCAAGGCUUUGCCGGGUAGCCGGCCUGAGAGGGUGGUCGGUAACACUGGGACGGAGAUGACGCCCACGCUCCUACGUGGUGCAGCAGUGGGGGAUAUUGCAGAAUGGACGAAAGUCUGAUGCAGCGGCGUCGUGUGAGGGAUGAGGGCCUUCGGGUUGUAAACGCCUUGCGGCCGCGGAAUGUUAGUGGGUAAAGAAGCGCCGGCUAACUACGUGCCAGCAGCCGCGGUAAUUC